rnacentral:rRNA from 1 species
UAGCCGUAAACGAUACUCGCUAGGUGUCGGCCACGGUGCGACCGUUGUCGGUGCCGUAGGGAAGCCGUGAAGCGAGCCACCUGGGAAGUACGGCCGCAAGGCUGAAACUUAAAGGAAUUGGCGGGGGAGCACCACAACGGGUGGAGCUUGCGGUUUAAAUGGAUUCAACGCCGGAAAUCUUACCGGGACCGACAGCAACAUGAAGGCCAGGCUGAAGACUUUGCCGGAUUAGCUGAGAGGUGGUGCAUGGCGUAGUCGUGU